UUUCAAGCACCAAUAGAGAUGUGUGUAGUGAUGGCUCAUGCAUGGCUUUUCCAGCUGCUCUUCCAGAGGAAUUGUCCAGAAGCCCUCGACGGAGGAGAAGCUGGCAGAGGUGGACCUGCUCAGCCUGAACAUCCUUCUAAGCAAACAUGAACAGUCCUCAGCUUUCUGCCUCCCGCUUUACUGGCUGUGAGUAAGAGUGCCGAGGGAAAUGAAGUCACACGUCAGAUUCUAUUGCCCUCAUGCGAUGGAAAGUGAGUGAGAGCAGCGAGUCUGUGAGCAUUGUUCAUGCCAGGCAAGAGCCGUCCAUUUGGGAGCCAAGCUGACGCCACCGACACUGAGAUACGUUUCUGUUUUGUUGAGGGUUCUGCUCACGCUCCAUCUGACUCCAGUUUGCAGAGGAAUCAUCCAGGAGUCCUCGCCGGACGAGAAUAUGCAGAACUGGACCUGAGCAGCCUGGACAUACUUCUAAGGAGACAUGAAUAGUACUCAGAUUUCUUCCUU